AGAGUUUGAUCCUGGCUCAGAACGAACGCUGGCGGCGUGGAUAAGACAUGCAAGUCGAGCGCUGAUUACAGGGUAGCAAUAUUCUGUGGUUGGAGCGGCGCAAGGGUGCGUAACACGUGGGUAAUCUGCCGUGAAGUUUGGGAUAACUUGCUGAAAGGCGAGCUAAUACCGGAUGUGAAAAUUGGGAGGCAUCUUCUGAUUUUCAAAGUUGGGGACCGUAAGGCCUGACGCUUCAUGAUGAGCCCGCGGCCUAUCAGCUAGUUGGUAAGGUAAUGGCUUACCAAGGCUAAGACGGGUAGCUGGUCUGAGAGGACGACCAGCCACACUGGAACUGAGACACGGUCCAGACACCUACGGGUGGCAGCAGUCGAGAAUUUUUCACAAUGGGCGCAAGCCUGAUGGAGCGACGCCGCGUGGGGGAUGAAUGGCUUCGGCCCGUAAACCCCUGUCAUUUGCGAUCAAACCUCGUUAUUUAAAAGAUGACGAGCUGAUAGUAGCGAAAGAGGAAGGGACGGCUAACUCUGUGCCAGCAGCCGCGGUAAUACAGAGGUCCCAAGCGUUGUUCGGAUUCACUGGGCGUAAAGGGUGCGUAGGUGGCGGGGUAAGUCGGAUGUGAAAUCUCCGAGCUCAACUCGGAAAUGGCAUUGGAAACUACCUUGCUAGAGGGUCGGAGGGGGGACUGGAAUACUUGGUGUAGCAGUGAAAUGCGUAGAUAUCAAGUGGAACACCAGUGGCGAAGGCGAGUCCCUGGACGACUCCUGACACUGAGGCACGAAAGCUAGGGGAGCAAACAGGAUUAGAUACCCCCGUAGUCC
rnacentral:rRNA from 1 species